CUCAGGGACAGCCUCAGGUCCCCGUGACAUUCAAAACAUGAGGGAGCAGUGAUGGAGAGCAAAGAGGAAGGCUACGCUGAAUACCGCCUGGGAAGGUUGGCUACACACGGACAAAUAAAGCCCAAGUGUGAAACACGAGAGAGUUGAGUCUGCCACAGAAAAACAGCCACGCAGGAAGAGCUUCCUACUGAAGGCUGUCAAAGGGAGGCAAGACACAUGAUCAUCCAUGUUCAUGCUGCGCUUUCACACCAGCUAAGACAAGCAAACAGGCUGGACGUCUACCUACUGAUGUGUGGGUAUGAAGAAUGUGGUGUCUAUACACAGAGAAAUUAUGAAACGUGCAGGGUGUCCUGCUGCCUUACGCGGAGACUCACAGUGGUAUCGAAGACUGGAGAACACUGUGUUCCAGCUGAAGUCACAGGAAGCUCUCCUAUACAACAAGCAUGGUGAUUGUGUGGCCAUCAGGAGACCUGGAGGUGCAGGAAAUUGAAAUAACCAGUAAUCUCUGUGACUGAUGGGAGCCCUCCCAAUGUUGAACCCAGACAGAGGGCUUAGGACAAGUUAGCUUUUUCCUAGCACUGUCUUUUAAGGCUUGUUUCUAGCCAUGAGGGUUAGCGCAGCAGUUAAGGAGCAAAGGAUUGGAAGCUUUUCCCCUACACUUCAACGUCGGGGAUCUAAUGACAGUUUUGCCUAAACUGAGACAGAUACCAAGAAUGGGGCAGGGCACAGGAUGCAUCCACAGAGCACAGACUCCCGUUUAACACGAUAGACAAGAUCUCUGGUGGAGCUCUAAGGAGCACAUACGAUGGAGGCUCACCCAGGUGCUGGGGAGCAGUCUAUCAAGAACAAAGCGUCUCGGCUUGAAACGGCCUGCAGCUGAUGCCUCUCCUUGGGGAUAACGCAAUCAGACAGUGUUGAAGAAGAAUGAUCCAGAAAGCUCACUUCAGCCUACCUUUGGGAGAAAUGAAACAGCAAACAGUCCCUGGUUCCGUCCGCUGCUUUCUGACUAGGUGUGAGCACUUGCCUCCUGCUCCACGCCCUCCUUCCUCCCCAGGAUGAACUAUCCUCUUGUGCCGCAGCUGAAAUCCCUUCCUGCUUUAAGUUUGCACCAGUGAUUUUUGUCUCUGUGAUGAAUAUGACUCCUUUUCCUUUCAAACUUUCUCCUCUCAUUUCUUUCCUCUGCCUUGCCUUCUCUUUCCUUUUCUAAGUAGCACUGUACCCCACUCCCUGAGCACACGGCAUAUGGCGUAUGAUGGGGACUAAUCUUUUACCUUUACUUUCUCAAGCCACGAAGAACCUAGCACCAAACAUUCUAGACUUCUUGGGGUGUGUGGUGAUUGGGCAGAGCCCAGGAUGGAAAGACCUGGGGAUUGUAUUUAAUAAUAAGCCAUAUGGUAUAAAGGGAAGACAGCACUGACUUUAAUAACUGGCCCUCUGUUCUCAUGCUUUUCAAAAAUCAUAGCUUCCCUGGACUUUAGCUGCAUCACGUCUCUGCAGGAUGAAGACUGUGUUUCUCAGCAUCAUUUUUGAAUCACCUUUGCCGUGUGCCUCAUGAUGAUGGAAUGUGCAAUGUUGGUGGAUUAUCUCCCAGGUGUGGGGGGGAAUGAAGCGCCUUCUGCUACUGCUGAGUUUCCGUGGUCUGCAUAGCUCAGGCAUGUCUGGUGUUCGUGCUUAGAGUCACGCACAGCUCAGCAUGUGUGUGGGAGCUCAAAUCUUUGUAUUUUUUUCAGUUCUCUAAUACCGUGACACAUAUCAGAGAUAAUCAAUUUAGAAACAAGCGUGCUUGGGUGGGGCGAGGUGGGUCAUAACCCUGCUCUAGAGCCAGCUUUUUAAUAAAGUAGAACAGCAUAAAACAACUCUUCAGGAUUAUCCAUACCCCAAAGACACCCGAAUCCCUGCAACACCGAAUCCAGGGACCAUCAGAGGGACCAAGCAGAGCAAGCAGAGAAAAAGGAAGUCUGGGUGUAGGCCAGCUGCAGCAGUGCAGUGAGGAGCAGGAGACAGAACAGGGGGCUUGCGCUGCUCUUGAAGUCUGUGCACCAGGAAUCCCUGUAUUACCCCAGUCUGGUGGUGCCGCAGCGUGAGGAGUGGCUGUCAGAAAUUCAUGGUCAGACACAAGAGCCAGCUUGGAGACAGAGCAAACAGGAAAAAAGACCUUCUUCAGAAGCAGAGUGAGAAGAAUCGCCAACAGGCAGGUGUAUGGAAAUGCCCGAUGCAGCAGGCUUCAGCAAAUCAGUGAGCAGGACGGAGAUGGAGCAAGCUCCAGGGGCAAGCUAGUUUGGAGGCAGCCAGGAGCAGUCAGCCUUGCAGAAAUCCUGUAAACACAGCAUGCGGCUCAGGGAUGAUUUGACUGUGCUUAGUCCAGAUGCUCACCUCAGCAAGGAAACUUGAAAGCAUAAACCCAACAGACCACAGAGAACAAUGCAAAAAGACAGAAUAGCAACACCAUCAAGGAAGACCAGAUAAACUCAGACAAGAGAUGACCACCUUCAUUCAUACACCUGAACCAGAAGGACAGUAGGGCGUCCUCUCUGCCCCAGAUACUGGGUCUGCGAUCAUGUUCAUCUCCCCUUCAUCUCUCCAAAUCCCUGGACUUCAAAAACAGAACAGAAGAGCUCAAUAAUAGGUCUGAGCUUAAAAAGAAUGCUGACCAGCAAUUCUUACUUUGGUUUUGCUUUCAAUUUGCAAAUUGGGGCAGUUGUAGUCUGGGCUUCCUGGGGCCUAUCCAGCCCCCCUUGGACUUACUUCCUCUGGAUCUUAUCCUCUUUAAAUGAUGGUGGUCAUGGUCUUGGGCUUCUCGAAAUUCCAAGUCCACCAGAGUCUGAUGUCUCUAAGGGAUCUUGCUGGAGUGCUCCAAAUGUUAUGUAGUUCCUGACCCAUGGGAAAGGACUAUAGACUCAAUCCAAUUAUAAACAGAAGAUUUAUUGAUUACUGCUGGCAGGACGGCAAUCUCUGAGCCAAGCUUGAGAAUGGGAACGAGGGAGGGAUUUUUAAAGCUGAAAACCACAGGAAGACUGGUAUCUGUACGAACAAGUCAAGUGCAAUUCUGCUCUGCCAAGAUUAGGUCAUCAAGGCCCUGAAUGUCUGCAUAAGCAGGUUACAGAAAACUGAAAAGCUGUUAGUCAAAACAUAACAAGCAGAUGGUCAGUUAUACAUUCCUGGGUGAAAAGUCACUGAGUCAGGUUACUGGGAACUUAUCUUCCUGAGACUGGACUCAGAGACAAAUGGCUGGUGGGAACCAAGAUGGAUGCCUAGCAGAAAAUGGAGUCCCUGCCUCCCAUCAAUCUAAAGACACUUAACCCUCAGAGAACAGUACUUGCCUGCUUUCUUCAAGCGCUUGUCACAUUGGGGUUCUUAGUGAUGCCAGGCAAGCGUCCUAUUCAGUAAGAGGAAGCAAACCUUGACGUAGAGGCUGACCAGCUAACAAGACAGCAGAAGGCUGCUGACGAGAGUCUGAACUCAUAAGUAGCAGCUUGGAUGGUGAGGACAGCUGCUGCCAGAGUUGGGGAGAGGGUGAGACAGCUUGAUUGACAGCAGGAGAAAGUCAAAGGAAAGGCAGAACGUGCACUUGGGUUUCGGUAUUGGAUGGUCAAGUGGGAAAUCCCGAACUUUGAGGAACACUGUCGCAUUAAGAGUGAGCAGUUAAGAGCCCAUUGGCUAGAGGGAACCUCAGGACCAAUGGCUGAGAUGAGUGACGUCACUGUAGGAGGUAGCGUUUGAUGCACAACUCAACCCUUGAAGAUCUUUUCAUCAGAUCCUCCAAGACAUGGAAGUGGCUUGGGAAUCCGUGCGAGGUGGAGAUGGACAGUGAAUCUGGGCCCCACUGUAAAUGAUGCUGGUGAUGAGAGGAGAGACGGCUUCUGCCAUAGAGGGACUGUUGUGGCAGGCACGUUCUCUGCAGGGUGUUGGGGGGACAGGAGGGAAGAACAUGUGGAGCUUGUGAAAAGGAAAGAGAAAUAAAAGCUGGAGCUCUGGAGGUACCGCCUGGGGACCCCUGCCUGGGGAGGAGUCUGCAACAGGUGCUCUGGUUCCUCUGAGGCUGAGGAAAAGUCAUGCGUGUAGGGUAGGGGCAAAACAAGGCCUUGGAGGUGCUGGUUUGAAGAACCCGGGGAGUUUGUAGUCUUCAGUAUCAAUUUUCUUGUUGAGGCAGGAGAGACUGCGAUCCUUGAGGAAGAGAGAAGGCAGUGGGACCGUUUGGGCUUGAGGAAGAUAAAAGUCUGAAAGUGUUCUUAGGAGAAGGGGAAAACAAGCCAAUUAAUAUCAUACAGAAGUGGGCAGCUGGCCUAUAGGUUCUGUAGUGUCAUCGUGACUUUAAUAUUUACUGAUGGCAAAGAAAAGCACAGCCCUAGGAGCUGAUGCAAUAAUUAAUGAUUAAGAGAUGGGCUGCCUAGUACCUCUGUUGUCAAGGCUUCUGCUUGUGUGGAUGCACAGCAAGGGUGUUUAGGGACCCAGAUGCUGUGUGUACAGGCCCUGCUCUGCGUCUACACUCACAAGCAACUGCCCCCACCCUAGACUUUUAGUUUUCAAACUGAGGAAUUAAUUCCUGCUGUAUAAGCCACUCAGUCUGUGGUAUUUUGUUCUGGCCACUCAAACCAAUGAAAGAUAGCACCAAAAUAUAAAACCAGUAUAUUAAAAAGACCAUAUAUCUAGUUCAGUUAAAUUACUUCUUAUUAGAGAAUUCUUCUUGGAUUUUGAGCAGCAAGCUGGGUAGCCUGCCUCAGAAGGCAGAGUGGCCUGUCUAGGGGACUCGGAGUAGUUCGUAGCCUCCAUUUCUUUAGGCUCAUUUAGGUGAUUGGCUCUCGAUCAUGGCUUUAUUAGGACCAAAUUUCAGCUAGAAACCGGUAUGAAAUACGCUGGGAACACUUGCUCCCUAGGGCCAUUAAAUCACCUUGUUAUUUAUCACCCUCUAGAAUCCUCUCAUUUACAUGUGGUCUCUUCUCAUAGAAGUGCCUCAAGUUAAUCUGAAUUUGUUUAGACAAUUUUAUGGGUAUUAUAAAACCACAAUUGAAUUUCAGACCUUUGUAGCAGCCCAGCUGAGAUGCACUCCAAUUAGAAGUAAUUGCUGUUAGCGCUGUGAUGAUGCGGUGGGUGCCCACUCAGGCUCAGACCUUUGUUCUGCUGAAUUCCCUGAGAGCCUCUUCUUUAGCCUUCAACUAAAUAGACAGGCCCCAGAAUGCACGCUCUCAGAAGCGCGGUAUAGGAGCAAUAUUGUGCCUCUCUCCUAAUUAACCUUGUUAGCCAAGGAUUUACAGCAUCAGUUCGUUGGUCGGGGGGCUUUGAUCCUCUCAAGACGCAUCCACAGUGGUGGAGGAUGCCUGUGUGAAGCGAAGUGCUUUGUAUUCUUUGGCAUACACUAAAUCCCUUUUCAAAAUUCUUUGGGGGCAUGACGGGGUGUUUUUGUUUAAUGAAAUGAUGUGUGGGAAGCAUUUAGCGUAGUGCUGGAUACAGUAAAUAUUAGUUAUCACUGCUAUCACGACAUGAUAGUUGAGUUAGUAUGUAAAGGAACAGAACCGGUUUCGAGGAUCCUGAAGAACAUUCUAGGGCACCCAGUCACCUGCACUGUGUGACUGACGCCUCCAAGAGCAUCUUACCCAGGAGAUACUUAAAUUCUAGAUUCCUUGGGCUUUUAGAGCGUCUGCCAAGGUAACUCUCCCUUCCAGCCUCAUCAGAGGCAAGAUACAAAAAAGACCCCAUUUCUCCCACAGGGUGGAUGCUCCAGCAACUUGGGAAUGAGUUGCUGGGAUAUGGUAAUUAACAUAUGUUUCUUAAUCUCGCUUUUCUAGUUAAUUUAGAAAGCAUGAAAGCACUUUGCCAGUUGAUUAGACUUCAAGAAUACAAUGGCAUGGAGACGAGGGUGCCUCUAAUGAAUACAGAUAAAAGAAAUUGUUCAUUCUGUGAAAAACACCUAGCUGUGAAUCCAGGUUUGAAUUACCAAGUUAAACAGUGGAAUCAGCUCUGGGUGUGGCCUUCGGAUCAGUUAGUAAUAACAAACCUAACUCAGUAAAAUUUCAUUUUCAGAGUAAAAAACAACCAGUUUGUGAU